rnacentral:lncRNA from 1 species
GACGGGAGGAGGGAAAAGGGACGGAGCGCAGGAGGGAAAGUCAGACAGGCUAAAAUCAGGGACAGAACUGGAACUCAAAAAAGACACAUUCACUCCAACUUCAUCCUGUGAACUCACAGAUCGUGCGGCUGAAUGGACAUGUUUAUUUACACUGGGUGUCUACAGGAGUGCUGAGGACUAAUAAUAGUUACUAAUGGAGCCAACUUUAACUCUUCACUCUGCUUCGGCUGCAUCAGAUAGAGAGCGCAGCGGUCUCGAGCGUCAUGACUGCGGCAGUGUGAGCAGUUUGGAAAGUAAUGGUAGUCUGCCCAGCGUCACCAACCAUUGUCGCUUCUCAGAGCGCCGU